CUUAACACAUGCAAGUCGAUUCGAUUUACCUUCGGGUAUUGAGGAUGGCGGACGGGUGAGUAACGCGUAAGGAACUUGCCUCUUGGACUGGGACAACUGUUGGAAACGACAGCUAAUACCGGAUAUUAUGAGAUUCUCGCAUGGGAAACUUAUGAAAGCUAUAUGCGCCAAGAGAGAGCCUUGCGUUCCAUUAGCUAGUUGGUGGGGUAAUGGCCCACCAAGGCGACGAUGGAUAGCCGGCCUGAGAGGGUGAACGGCCACAAGGGGACUGAGACACGGCCCUUACUCCUACGGGAGGCAGCAGUGGGGAAUAUUGGACAAUGGGCCACAAGCCUGAUCCAGCAAUUCUGUGUGCACGAUGAAGGUCUUCGGAUCGUAAAGUGCUUUCAGUUGGGAAGAAGAAAGUGACGGUACCAACAGAAGAAGCGACGGCUAAAUAC
rnacentral:rRNA from 2 species